GAAUAUAUCGUAUAUAUCAUAAUAACUUGUGCUUUUGUAAAUGUUAACUGUCUCUACGAGCAGCCGUCACAGUCGAAGGAUCCGCAGAGCCCUUGACUUCUCUAGCACCCCCUGCUGGUUUGAUUUCUCCAUUGCUUUAUGCUGCAAGCUGCUACUUUUGUCACUUGAGAGUGCAACUCAACAUGUAAUGAUACCAUGCGACUCAUAAUGUAGGAGUUAAUUCUGUUCUCUUUUUUAUACUGCUCUACUUCGUCCUGAGUUCACUGACAUAAGCCGUCCCAUAACUUUGAGAAUAAUGUAUCCAAGUCUCUCGAUGCCUUCUGUACAGUCUCAUUUCACCUCGGCAGGUGUGUGUAUGUGUGUGUGAUAUAGGUGCGUGUUGUGUUUGGUAUUGACUGGUUUUACUAGAAGCUUGUAGACUCAGUCCGAGCAUUUCUUCACUAAACUGACCUCUUUUAGUGUCUCUCAUUUCUUGUCAUUGCUUCUCAGAUACUGCUAGGAAAACAGUUAUUGUAAUAUCAUAAGCGGUUGUUUCAUGCCAUACAGCACAAAGGCCUUGCUAACAAAACAUUAGAAUCAGUCUUAUCGCUUCGAAAACUGGGGACCCACGAUUCAUUAAUUUUUACCAAAGACUACAACUGUCAUUCACUUCAGUCAUGAAACGUGAGAAAGUUUUUAUUUUUGUGAUUGGAUGUUUUGGGGAGUGACUGGGAAAACAAUGCUGAAAAUGUCCACAGGCAAAAUUAUGUUUUCGUUUUGUUGUAUGUUUUGCUUUGCAUUUUUGUUUUGUUUUUUGUUGCUUUCUUAGUAUCUUUGUUUGCUUUGUUUCGUUUUGUUUUUGUCUGAGUUGCUUCGCGGAGCAUUUGUUUAUCUGACAGGUCACCUUUAUUUUUGUUUCUUUUCUUUUCAUGUUGCAAUGAGAAUGUACACUAUUACUGAUUUCUUUUGAUGUGAAGAAGAAAGCUGUUGAAUUUUUGUUGGACUUUUGAAAUGCUUUCGAAAGAUUGACAACGUUAUGCUGUUGAGAUGGAGAAGACACACAUCGAAGGUGUUUGCUCAGUUCAUGUCUUGUUUCUCCUAAGAAGGAGGCUGGAAAAUGAAGUCACAUCUCUCCAACAUUUGGGGUAAUAUUCUGACUUUGCUUGUGCAUCACGUAAAAAAAUUGGAGCUGCAAGUUGCAUCAAUCUUUUCUAACGUUUUUGUCCUGUGGUAUCUCUUUUUCCUUUUCUUGCAUUAUUUGUGGGUUGCAUUUGUAAGCAUAUUUGCAUUAUCAUGUUAAGAAAUGUACAUAUCUAUUUCUUGCUUCAUUAACUCAUCAGUCUCUAAAAGCUUUGUAUCCUGGCAUAUAAUUGCAAACUCUAUAUUUUCAUAUGAAUCAAUUUUGUUUGUUUGUCCUUAGUUUUGUGUGUAGUUCUCAUUGAUGGUUAACACAAAAUGUCCCCAAAUCCUUCAGAAGGUGGCUGACAUCAAGUUCCAAACACACAACAAUCAUAAACUAAGGCAGUGAUUGUGGUAUUUCUUUUUUCUUUCCCCCCUUUGAAUCGAAAUAAAAUCUGUUUCAUUGUCCAGAAGUGCAAUAGAAUAGAUCUUGUAAGUCAAAGAAGAAGUUCUCCCAUACAAAGCAGGUGGGUGUCACCAUCAUAUCCACUUUUUCUAAUCUGGAAUAACACACGAAGGGUUUUUGAAGGGGUUUUCUUUCUUUCUUUCUUUUUUCUUUUUGUUGAAAGCUAUAUCAAAG
ensembl:lncRNA